AUGACAUUUUUUACCCAGCAGAAACAUGGAAUUUCAUGCAUAACCUGCUUGCCUUGUUCCGUACACUAUGUAUAUGUGGCUGUAAGACUGUCUUUGUGGAUAAAGAAUUGGCUGGGUGGCUGCAUGCGAAGAUUGGCAGUCAACAGCUCAAUGUCCAAUUGCCCUCAAGGGCUGGUGUUGGGACCGAUCCAGUUCAAAAUCUUUGUCAGUGACAUGGGCAGUGAGAUUGAGAGUGCCCUCAGUAAGUUUGCUGAUGCCACCGAGCUGUGUGGUUUGGUUCAUACACUGGAGGGAAGGAAUGCCAUCCAGAGGGACCUUGACACACUUGUGAGGUGGGCUGAUGCCAACCUCAAGAGGUUUAACCAUCUCAAGUGCAAGGCCCUACACCUGGGUUGGGGCAAUCCCAGGCACAGCUACAGGUUGGGCAGAGAAGAGAUUCAGAACAGCCCUGCAGAGAAGGACUUGGGGGUGUUGGUCAAUGAGAAAAUGAACAUGAGCUAUCUUCAGUGUGUGCUUACAGCCCUGAAAGCCAGCUGUAUCCUGGGCUGCAUCAGAAGGAGCAUGACCAGCAGGUCGAAAGAGGUGAUCCUGCUCCUCUGCUCUUGUGAGACCCCACUUGGAGUAUUGUGUACAGGACAUAAAAAGGACAUGGAACUGUUGGAACAAGUCCAGAGGAGGGCCCCAAGGAUGAUCAGGGAACUGGAGCACCUCCUGUGUGAAGACAGGCUGAGCAAGUUGGGGCUGUUCAGCCUGGAGAAGAGAAGGCUGCGUGGAGACCUCAUAGCAGCCUUCCAGUAUCUGAAGGGGGCCUACAGGGAUGCCAGAGAGGGACUCUUCACUAGGGACUGUAGUGAUAGGACAAGGGGCAAUGGGUUUAAGCUAAAACAGGUGAAGUUCAGGUUAGGUAUAAGGAGGAAGUUCUUUACUGUGAGGGUGGUGAGGCACUGGAACAGGCUGCCCAAAGAAGCAGUAAUUGUUCCAUCCCUGGCAGUCUUCAAGGCUGGGUUGGACGAAGUCUUGGUGAUACGGUUUAGUGGUAGGUGUCCCUGCCCCUGGCAGAGGGGUUGGAAGAUGUCUUUAUAG
rnacentral:lncRNA from 1 species